CUUAAAAUUAAUUACCGGGUUCUUGACUAAAAGGAGGGGGGGAGGCGGUGUCAUUAGGCGGGCUGGGUAUGCAGAGCCUCGGCCACCUGCGCCUGGCAGCGGUGCCCGGCUAAGGGUGCCGGCGGUAGCAACCGGGCUGUGCGGGCUCCGGGUCCUCCACUUUUUGGGCAGCUGUGCGGCUCGCAGAGCCCGGCUGCCGCCGCGGGCAGCGGCUGCGGAGCCCGGCGAAGAAGUUUGUUAAUUCGGCAUUUCAACGUUGCUGGCUUCAGACUGCACCAUUGUAGGAACUCUUUUUUACAAAACUAGACUGAAAAAAUUCCCCCAAACCUCCACUUAACGGCACAACUGGUAUGUAUAAAUAAAAUCUUCAUUUUUUAAA